GAUGAACGCUAGCGGGAGGCCUAACACAUGCAAGCCGAGCGGUAUUGUUUUUUCGGAAAUGAGAGAGCGGCGUACGGGUGCGGAACACGUGUGCAACCUGCCUUUAUCUGGGGGAUAGCCUUUCGAAAGGAAGAUUAAUACUCCAUAACAUAUUGAUUGGCAUCAAUUAAUAUUGAAAGCUCCGGCGGAUAGAGAUGGGCACGCGCAAGAUUAGCUAGUUGGUGAGGUAACGGCUCACCAAGGCGAUGAUCUUUAGGGGGCCUGAGAGGGUGAUCCCCCACACUGGUACUGAGACACGGACCAGACUCCUACGGGAGGCAGCAGUGAGGAAUAUUGGUCAAUGGGUGCAAGCCUGAACCAGCCAUCCCGCGUGAAGGACGACUGCCCUAUGGGUUGUAAACUUCUUUUGUAUAGGGAUAAACCUACCCUCGUGAGGGUAGCUGAAGGUACUAUACGAAUAAGCACCGGCUAACUCCGUGCCAGCAGCCGCGGUAAUACGGAGGGUGCAAGCGUUAUCCGGAUUUAUUGGGUUUAAAGGGUCCGUAGGCGGACUUAUAAGUCAGUGGUGAAAGCCUGUCGCUUAACGAUAGAACUGCCAUUGAUACUGUAAGUCUUGAGUAUAUUUGAGGUAGCUGGAAUAAGUAGUGUAGCGGUGAAAUGCAUAGAUAUUGCUUAGAACACCAAUUGCGAAGGCAGGUUACCAAGAUAUAACUGACGCUGAGGGACGAAAGCGUGGGGAGCGAACAGGAUUAGAUACCCUGGUAGUCCACGCCGUAAACGAUGCUAACUCGUUUUUGGGCUUUAGGGUUCAGAGACCAAGCGAAAGUGAUAAGUUAGCCGCCUGGGGAGUACGCUCGCAAGAGUGAAGCUCAAAGGAAUUGACGGGGGCCCGCACAAGCGGUGGAUUAUGUGGUUUAAUUCGAUGAUACGCGAGGAACCUUACCAAGACUUAAAUGGGAAUUGACAGCUUUAGAAAUAGAGCUUUCUUCGGACAAUUUUCAAGGUGCUGCAUGGUUGUCGUCAGCUCGUGCCGUGAGGUGUUAGGUUAAGUCCUGCAACGAGCGCAACCCCUGUCACUAGUUGCCAUCAUUCAGUUGGGGACUCUAGUGAGACUGCCUACGCAAGUAGAGAGGAAGGUGGGGAUGACGUCAAAUCAUCACGGCCCUUACGUCUUGGGCCACACACGUAAUACAAUGGCCGGUACAGAGGGCAGCUACACAGCGAUGUGAUGCAAAUCUCGAAAGCCGGUCUCAGUUCGGAUCGGAGUCUGCAACUCGACUCUAUGAAGCUGGAAUCGCUAGUAAUCGCGCAUCAGCCAUGGCGCGGUGAAUACGUUCCCGGGCCU
rnacentral:rRNA from 1 species